GCAUCUUAGUCCAACCAAGCAUGGUAUCAUUUCAUUGUAUUUCUACUUUCUGCUUUCUAAGUUCCCAAAGUAGUUAUAAGUUGUAGUUCUCCGAAAGGAAGGAGAGGUUGUUAAUGAGGAGCAGUCCCAGCACGACAAGCACAAUAAAGAAGAUCCGAGUGAAGCUGCUUGCCCAAAAGGAGUUGGAAAGACAACAGACACUUCCUUUUCUACAAUAUU
rnacentral:lncRNA from 1 species